GUGCUCACUUUGGCAGCACAUAUACUAAAAUUGGAACGAUACAGAGAUUAGCAUGGCCCCUGCGCAAGAAUGACAUGUAAAUUUGUAAAGUGUUCCAUAUUUUA